GAACGCUGGCGGCGUGCCUAACACAUGCAAGUCGAACGCGAAAGAGGGGCAACCCUCGAGUAGAGUGGCGCACGGGUGAGUAACACGUGGGUGACCUGCCUUCGAGUGGGGGAUAACGUCCCGAAAGGGACGCUAAUACCGCAUAAUAUGCUGUCUUUUAAGAGAGAGACAUCAAAGCCGGGGACCGUAAGGCCUGGCGCUUGAAGAGGGGCCCGCGCCUGAUUAGCUAGUUGGUGGGGUAAUGGCUCACCAAGGCAACGAUCAGUAUCCGGCCUGAGAGGGCGGACGGACACACUGGGACUGAGACACGGCCCAGACUCCUACGGGAGGCAGCAGUGGGGAAUUGUUCGCAAUGGGCGCAAGCCUGAUCUAGCCAUGCCGCGUGGGCGAUGAAGGCCUUAGGGUUGUAAAGUCCUUUCGCUGGGGAAGAUAAUGACUGUACCCAGUAAAGAAGCCCCGGCUAACUCCGUG
rnacentral:rRNA from 1 species